CUUCCUGGGGAGUAGUCGCCCGCAUCGCAGCGGGGCGCGCGUCAACACAAUCGGCUUCGGCCGUGGCGCGCGCGGCCUGAUGGUUUGACGAGACCAUGGAUCGGUGGACGUUCGGGGUCGGGC
rnacentral:sRNA from 1 species